CCUAAUAUCAUUGCUAUGUGAAUGGAAAGAUGUUUAUGUACAAUAUAGCAGGGUCAUCUAAUGCUAGAGCUGGUUAUUAAAUAAGAAGCCAUUUGGGUAUAGAAUAGUGAUAUUGGGGAACUAAAUAGUAUCUGGCAAUACUUAAGCAACUCCUUAUAGAAGUCAGAAGGACAAGAGUCCCCUCUUCAAGAAUUGUUAAGAAGAGACAGUGUUUUAUUGGAUGACUGUUUAAAUUUAAAGACUUCCUUUAAGAAUAUUUAAGUUUAAAAACGGUCACUUUGAGAGCAAAAAGACAGCUAUAUAUGACAUAAGGGUGUUUGGACUAAUCUGAAGCAGAAUUUCAACUCCUGUUGAACUCUGGUGGAACUAAAGGCAUAUGUCAGAAAACGGACUAAAUCAGGGAAAGAGGUAAAACUCUAAACUUCAAAAAUAUACUGAGAAUUUCCUUCCACAAAGGCAGUUACAAUCCUGCUGUAACUGCUGCAGCAGAUGCAUGUAUUUCCUGGGUGCCCUAGUUCAAAAUUUCCUCUCCUUAUUCCACUGUUGUACAACUAGCUGUAUGCUGGUGGGUUGCUGUUGUCCACCUCAGAGGUGGCUGGAUUUCAGCAACUCUGCACAGAGAUCGUUUGUGAAGCUCUUCGGUAACUAUCAGGCAUAGAAGUUGUAAAAUGUGAAAAUAUUCUCAGUUCCUUUUAGCCAGAUAAUUUCACUGCUCUAGCCAUAGAUGACUCAUGUCUCCCGAUCCUGGGGGCGGGGUGGGGACACAAAUCUAAAGGGGAGGACACGUGACUGCCCCACAUGUCUCCUUUGCCCAGCGACCUCUGCCCUCUGCUGUCCUGUGCCCAGCCCGGGGCUGCCGCACUCUCCCCAGCCCACCAGUUACCUGCUGGGAAGAGGGGAGUCUGUCGUCCUACUGCGACCCUCUCUCCCGCCCCCUGGCAUGUUCAGCCGCUCUCCCUGGCAGCCGGGCCUGGGUGGGGCACGGAAGGGAGACACUUCUCACGCCAGUUGAAGCUGGCCACUCUGAGUCACCGACUCUGUGCAGUGCGGCCGCUCCCUGAGAGCCUGGCUGGGGCGGCAGCCUGCACUACUCCCUCUCUUCCCAGCCCAGCUCAAAAUUUCCCCUCCUUACUCCACUGUUGUACAACUGUCUGUAUGCUGGUGGGUUGCUGUUGUCCACCUCAGAGGUGGCUGGAUUUCAGCAACUCUGCACAGAGAUCGUUUGUGAAGCUCUUUGGGGACUAUCGGGCAUGGAAGUUGUAAAAUGUGAAAAUAGUCACAGGUCCUUUUAGCCAGAUAAUUUCAUAUGAACUGUCCAGAGAACAUCCAAGUGAAUCAGAGCUGGUUGGGGGCGUUUAUUGGGGACUGAAACCACCUGAGAGAAGCUGAUGGGUUCAAUAAUCCCGGAUGAUAAAUAAUGCACAGCAAAUGGCCUGGCAGAAAUUAUAUUCCUGUUUAAAUGUAUCGUGUUAUGUAUACCUGAAGAUUAUACAAUUCUCUCUCCCCCUUAUAGAGGAGGAGAAGAACUCAGAAGAGACUUUAUCAAAGAGCCAGGCUGACAACUCCUCCAAUGAAGAGAAUCCAGACUAUGAAAAUAUCUCAAAGGAGAAUCAGAAGCCAGAGGAAGAGAAGAACUCGAGCCUAAAUCAAUGAACCUGCCUGAUCCUCGCUCCAAUCAAGAGAAUCCAGAUCUUAAACUGGAAAGUGAGGCAGACUAACAACGCUAUGGACUAAACUCCAUUGCAGAGUGACAAAAGACACUGGGAGAAGAAAUAUCUUGUGGCUGUUGCCAACGGGUGCUGGAGUUCUCCCUAACAGAUGUGUUUUGAAGAUUCAUUUAUUUGUUCUCAAGCUUCAUAGACUAUCACGGUUGGAAGGGACCGCAGAAGGUCAUCUAGUCCAACCCCCUGCUCAAAGCAGGACCCAUCCCCAAAUCGCCCACUCAAGGAUUGAGCUCACAACCUUGGGUUCAGCAGGCCAAUGCUCAAACCACUGACUAUCUCUUCCACCAAUGCCCACUUUUAUCUUUCCAGGUCAGAUGUCCUCUUUCUUCGAUAUCAGUUAUUUUGAAAAUGGACAGAGUGAGUCAAGGAGCAAAUCCUUUUGCAUCCGUGCUCCUUUUUGUACUUUUGUUUUACAAGCAAGUGAACCUGAAACAUAGGAGCCAGGUUUAUUUAUGCCAAUAUUUCCAGACAUUAACUAACAGAAGUGAAUGUGGACAAAUCAAAAACUAAUGGACAUGAUAUAAAACUCUAACUGUAACAUUAUUUAAAUUCAGAAGAGAAGAGCGUUCAGAAGGGCAACUCUCAUUUUCUCCACCUCCCUAUCUGAAAGAAAAGGCCAUAACAACACUGUCCAUGAAUAGAUCAGCAACAGCUUUCCUGGCUCUUGUUUCUAUCUGUCCUUCCAGAAAGCACCACCAUCACCCUCCACCACCACCACCAAAUUCUGACUUUUUUUGAAUAGCAAAAGGCAGGCACACCUUCUUGCUCAAUGGAGAUGGUAUCAACUCUGCUAUGUACUCUAGCCCAGCGGUUCUCAAACUGUCGGUUGGGCUCAGAAGUGGGUCACGACCCUGUUUUAAUGGGGUCGCCAGGGCUGGCGUUAGACUUGCUGGGGCCCAGGGCUGAAGCCAAAGUCUGCGCCCCUCCGCCCAGGAGGGGGGCUGAAGCCAAAGCCUGAGGGCUUCAGCCCUGGGCAGCAGGGCUCAAGUUACAGUGUCUCUCCCCCCACCCCACACACACACCCAAGGAGGCAGGGCUCAGGCUUCGGUUUUUGUUGUCAGAAGGGGGUCGUGAUGCAAUGACGUUUGAGAACCCCUGUUAGCCAAACAAUGUAUCCUCAGAUUCUAGGGUAAGUGUCGAGCAAUUGCAUCUGUGGCACCCACAAUUGUGUCAAAACAGCUGAUUUAAAAGCAUCAGCACAGACACUUCAUUCACUAUCAGAAGGAGAUUAUCAACCAAUGAAAUCACUACAGUCUCUGUGCCAAACCCAGGUCUCAAACUGGUGUGACCAGAGUCAAGGCAAUUGGAGGACUCCAUCUCCUCAAUAUAUGUUCCACUCUAUAUGCAUCCGAAGAAGUGGGAUGUAGCCCACGAAAGCUUAUGCUCUAAUAAAUUUGUUAGUCUCUAAGGUGCCACAAGUACUCCUGUUCAUUUUUCCCUCUGUAAUCUUCUUCCCAAAGAAGGAAACCAUUAACAGUCACUUUCUUAAGAAAUAGUGGCACCCACUUGCAUUGGUCCCUCCAACUGGAUGUUGUGCAAAAAGUAAAGAAACAGCAACUGACCGGGAGAAAUGCAUUCCAUUUUUAAUAUUGUUUCAUUUUAUUACUCUAAAAUGUUUUUAGUAACACCGAUAAAGAAUUUUUAUAAAUAAGGCCAGAUUUAUUGGUAUGUUCCAGCUGCUUUGCAUUAUAGCCCAUGAGCUUUAACUUGACAACGAACCAAAUUAGUGUCCAAAUUGUUAUGAUAUUGAAGUCAUAAGAGAAAGUCAAACUCAUAGUGCAGACCUAGGUUAUCCUUUCCUAUAAGCAAGACUUUCAACUGCUAACGUUCUAGGAAAAGUACACAUCUUACCUUUCAUGCCAUUAGGGUGCCCAAGUUUAAUAACGAGAUUGUUUGAUGCACUCCUUUGUGAUUAUAGAGCUAGUUACUUACUUAAUGCUCACUCAUUUUUGCACGACACUUGAAAAUCUAAAGAUGCUAUACAGGAAUUAGAUAUUAUCCCCCUUUUACAGAUGGGAAAAGAGAGGCAAAAAAGUUAAAAUUCUGUAUUUUCCAAAGACCCCACAAAUUUAGGGUGCCCUUUUGAGAUACGUGGGGCUUAAUAUUUCAGACAUGCUGAGCACCCACAGCUCUCACUUCAGCAUCUCUGCAAUUCAGGGCUUUGAUAUAUGAAGUUAGGCACCCAAAAAAUCUACAUACUUUUGGGCAGUGGUUCUCAAACUUUUUUUUUUUUUUUUUUUUUUCACAGACCACUUGUUAAUU